GAUGAACGCUGGCGGCGUGCCUAAUACAUGCAAGUCGAGCGAACAGACGAGGAGCUUGCUCCUCUGACGUUAGCGGCGGACGGGUGAGUAACACGUGGAUAACCUACCUAUAAGACUGGGAUAACUUCGGGAAACCGGAGCUAAUACCGGAUAAUAUAUUGAACCGCAUGGUUCAAUAGUGAAAGACGGUUUUGCUGUCACUUAUAGAUGGAUCCGCGCCGCAUUAGCUAGUUGGUAAGGUAACGGCUUACCAUGGCAACGAUGCGUAGCCGACCUGGGAGGGUGAUCGGCCACACUGGAACUGAGACACGGUCCAGACUCCUACGGGAGGCAGCAGUAGGGAAUCUUCCGCAAUGGGCGAAAGCCUGACGGAGCAACGCCGCGUGAGUGAUGAAGGUCUUCGGAUCGUAAAACUCUGUUAUUAGGGAAGAACAAAUGUGUAAGUAACUAUGCACGUCUUGACGGUACCUAAUCAGAAAGCCACGGCUAACUACGUG
rnacentral:rRNA from 1 species